rnacentral:antisense_RNA from 1 species
CUUCACCGAGCCGAGCCGGAGCGGCUGCCCGGCGGGACGUUCCGCACCGUAGGUGGCCAGCAGCGCCUGCGCCUC